rnacentral:rRNA from 1 species
UACGUAGGGUGCAAGCGUUGUCCGGAAUUAUUGGGCGUAAAGAGCUCGUAGGCGGUUUUGUUGCGUCGGCUGUGAAAUCCCGAGGCUCAACCUCGGGUCUGCAGUCGAUACGAGCAAACUAGAGUGUUGCAGGGGGAGACUGGAAUUCCUGGUGUAGCGGUGAAAUGCGCAGAUAUCAGGAGGAACACCGGUGGCGAAAGGCGGGGUCUCUGGGGCCGAUACUGA